rnacentral:rRNA from 1 species
UGGGGAAUUUUGGACAAUGGGCGCAAGCCUGAUCCAGCCAUGCCGCGUGAGUGAAGAAGGCCUUCGGGUUGUAAAGCUCUUUCGGCUGGGACGAAAAGGUCCGCGCUAACACCGCGGAUCCAUGACGGUACCAGCAGAAGAAGCACCGGCUAACUACGUGCCAGCAGCCGCGGUAAUACGUAGGGUGCAGGCGUUAAUCGGAAUUACUGGGCGUAAAGCGUGCGCAGGCGGUUUGCUAAGACAGGUGUGAAAUCCCCGGGCUUAACCUGGGAACUGCGCUUGUAACUGGCAAGCUAGAGUGUGGCAGAGGGGGGUGGAAUUCCACGUGUAGCAGUGAAAUGCGUAGAGAUGUGGAGGAACACCGAUGGCGAAGGCAGCCCCCUGGGCUAACACUGACGCUCAUGCACGAAAGCGUGGGGAGCAAACAGGAUUAGAUACCCGUGUAGUCC